rnacentral:ribozyme from 13 species
CUUGUGAAUGUGCGCUUCGAAAAAAAAAAAAAAAAAAAAAAAAAAAAAAAAAAAAAAAAAAAAAAAAA